rnacentral:rRNA from 1 species
UACGUAGGGCGCAAGCGUUAUCCGGAAUUAUUGGGCGUAAAGAGCUCGUAGGCGGUUUGUCGCGUCUGCUGUGAAAUUUCGGGGCUCAACCCCGAACUUGCAGUGGGUACGGGCAGACUAGAGUGUGGUAGGGGAGACUGGAAUUCCUGGUGUAGCGGUGAAAUGCGCAGAUAUCAGGAGGAACACCGAUGGCGAAGGCAGGUCUCUGGGCAACAACUGACGCUGAGGAGCGAAAGCGUGGGGAGCGAACAGG